UACAGAGGUCCCGAGCGUUGUUCGGAUUCACUGGGCGUAAAGGGUGCGUAGGUGGCGAGGUAAGCCGGAUGUGAAAGCUCGGAGCUCAACUCCGAAAUGGCAUUGGAAACUACCUUGCUCGAGGGUUGGAGGGGGGACUGGAAUACUUGGUGUAGCAGUGAAAUGCGCAGAUAUCAGGAGGAACACCGGUGGCGAAGGCGGGUCUCUGGGCCGAUACUGACACUGAGGAGCGAAAGCGUGGGGAGCGAACAGG
rnacentral:rRNA from 1 species